rnacentral:rRNA from 1 species
CAGCCGCCGCGGGAAUACAGAGGAUGCAAGCGUUAUCCGGAAUGAUUGGGCGUAAAGCGUCUGUAGGUGGCUCUUCAAGUCCGCCGUCAAAUCCCAGGGCUCAACCCUGGACAGGCGGUGGAAACUACCAAGCUGGAGGACGGUAGGGGCAGAGGGAAUUUCCGGUGGAGCGAUGAAAUGCGUUGAGAUCGGAAAGAACACCAACAGCGAAAGCACUCUGUUGGGCCGACACUGACACUGAGAGACGAAAGUUAGGGGAGCAAAUGGGAUUAGAGACCCCCGUAGUCCCUGUCUCUUAUAC